rnacentral:lncRNA from 1 species
GAAACUUAAGGCUGGAAAAACAAAUCCCUGAAUCUGUUAGGCCUCAGUUUCCCAUCUGAAAAAUGAGAGAUGAAAUGAAGACCGCAUAGCUGUCCAUGGAUGGUCUCGAGAAUGGUUUUCCUCACAGAUAUCUCUGGAGUGAAACACGGUUCCAGAGGGGAACUUGAAGAUCUCACUGAAGGAAAUUCUGUUUCCCAAAAGCUAAGAGGAAAUCCCUUUUCCACCAAGGAAACUACGGAGACCUAGAGACCCAGCUCUAAUGUCUCCUCCUCUGUGACGCAUCCAAGGCCCAGACCUAGGCUUGCCCUUGAGGAGCUACAGAUGAUGCAGGCAGAGGCAGCGACAGCGCCUGUGAUUCUGGGAAGCACCUCGGCCCCCACCCCAGCCCGGGGCACGAAGCAGCUGAAGAGAAAGAUGGCACUGACUUACAGACAAGAUGGGAAAAGACAUUCAAGAAGAGGAAACAGGGUGCGCAGAGGGCAGUCUGGAAGGGCUUGAAGACAGGCCUGCUAAAUGCAGAGGUCUGAGGCCGGUUUGUUCACCCCUCACCAUCCUGCCCAGCACUGGGCCCACAGCAAGUCUGGCUGAGGAUUUAGGCGAGAGUAAGGUCAGUGAUGAAGGUGUGGAUGGUCGGCUUUAGUCCUCCGCUGAUCAGACCCACAGGAUGGCAGUGACUGAGGGCAGGGCCAGAUGGACUUUUGUGGACUCGAAGGUAUUGCAGGGAGACAAGUGUGCUUCAGCCUGCAGACGGCCUCCAGCUGGAGGCCCUAAAGAGGCCAGAGGAGCCUGGGGUAGUAGAGGGGCCUCAGGCACAGAUGUGGGUGCAUAAGGAACAGGGAUGAACGUGCCCUCAGCCCUGAAGUCUAGCAUUCUUU